GGAAGUUUUCAGAGAUGAGAAUGUGCCUUCGGGAACCGUGAGACAGGUGCUGCAUGGCUGUCGUCAGCUCGUGUUGUGAAAUGUUGGGUUAAGUCCCGCAACGAGCGCAACCCUUAUCCUUUGUUGCCAGCGGUCCGGCCGGGAACUCAAAGGAGACUGCCAGUGAUAAACUGGAGGAAGGUGGGGAUGACGUCAAAUCAUCAUGCCCCUUAUGACCUGGG
rnacentral:rRNA from 1 species